UUUAAUUUACGAAUAAUAUUAUAUACAUUAGGAAAUAUUAUACAAUAAAGAUGAAUGAAAAUAAUAUUUUUGCAGAUAAAAUGUGAAAAGUGGCGAGGAUUUUAAAUCGGCACACGUUGGAACAUAGGAUUUACUAAAGUGAUAAUGGAUAAAAUAUGGUGGGAUAAUACCUAGACAUAGAGUGAAAAGAAUUGAUUUCCAAUUUCGGCAACUAAACCUAGCUUACGUGGCUCGCAUUUUCAUAUCACAGAAUCGUAACUAAACGUAACGUUCACGUAACGUCUUUGUUUUUACGUAAGGAAGUCGAUUAUUCGAUUUCGAUUUCUUCGAUCUAGAUUUU
rnacentral:misc_RNA from 1 species